rnacentral:lncRNA from 1 species
GCGCAGGUGGAGAGUGAGCCUGGUGUGGAGUUAGCCACUUCUCCCCAGAGGAAGGCAAGGAUGUGGAGGGUGAAAGCGGGCUCGCAGACACGAAUAUGACCAACGUGAUGCAGUGUGACUCUCAGGAUUAUGUAGUUAUAUAAGACUUGGUCUGUUUGAAAGAUUUGAAGAAGCCAGCUACCCUGAGGUCUACAUCUUUCCACAGCCUUGGUGUUGGAACCUAAUCCUCAACGUGGUGGUAGGUUUACCACCUGAAGCAGAGAACAGCCCUCACCAGAUACUGAACCAGCUGGUGCCUUAACAUUGGACUUCCAGCCUCCAGAACUGUGAGAUAUGUGCAGGGUUUGAAUGACCCAAGCCUGCAGAGUCAACUCUACUGCCCGUCCACACUUGUCUGCUGCUGUUCCUCACCUCUCCAGUGAGCGUGGAGUUCCAUGGUCUCAGGUGACAGCCAUCACACCCACUCUGAAUUUCCUGACAGGCAUAAUAGAAUUGAAGACACAGUGGAUAACGACAGAGCCUCGUGUACUGCUAACAGGGCUGGAGGCUGGGUAUCACCACAGCUGACCUCCUCUCCAUGGCUCUUGCUGCUGCUAAUCCUCCAAGAUGAAUCUGAAAGAGAAAACAACUGCUUAGUUGCUACAAAUCAUAGGAAGACUCUGGUGAGAAAAUCUCCAUAAAAGACUUCGGAAAAGAUAUGUGUCUUAAGGCAGAACUUGAGGAAAAGCAGGAGACUUGGCACAGAAGCCGCAGAAGGCUUUUUCCAUGUGUAGGAACUUGCAAGGAUGGCAGGAGGCUACAGAGAGCAGACUUGAAACCCUGUGAAAAGAAGAAAUAAGCAAAGCAAGAGGAUAAGCCCUGGGAGAACAGCGUGCUUCCCAGUGUCUGCCUCGUCCUGCACAGUAAGAGCCAGGUCAACUUCAGGAAAUAAGCAAGGCCUCUAAAAGGAAGCACGACCAGAAAAUACAGCACAACUAGGAGCAUAUGGAAGGGAUCCAAGAAGUGGAGACCAUCAUUCGGUAAUAGAAUCUGCUUUGGAGAUGAGAGAGCCUAGAAGGAUGCCCAAUGCCCAGAUGGCAACAGCGCCCUCACAUGCUAUGUACAAU